rnacentral:rRNA from 1 species
GGGCCCGCACAAGCGGUGGAGCAUGUGGUUUAAUUCGAUGCAACGCGAAGAACCUUACCAGGGUUUGACAUGAUACGAAUUUUUUUGAAAGAAAAAAGUGCCGUUUGGAACGUAUACACAGGUGGUGCAUGGUUGUCGUCAGCUCGUGCCGUGAGGUGUCAGGUUAAGUCCUAUAACGAGCGCAACCCCUGUUGUUAGUUGCCAGCGAGUCAUGUCGGGAACUCUAACAAGACUGCCGGUGCAAACCGUGAGGAAGGUGGGGAUGACGUCAAAUCAUCACGGCCCUUACGUCCUGGGCUACACACGUGCUACAAUGGUCGGUACAGAGAGCAGCCACUACGCGAGUAGGAGCGAAUCUUCAAAGCCGAUCACAGUUCGGAUCGGAGUCUGCAACUCGACUCCGUGAAGCUGGAAUCGCUAGUAA